rnacentral:rRNA from 1 species
CCUACGGGAGGCAGCAGUGGGGAAUAUUGGACAAUGGGCGAAAGCCUGAUCCAGCAAUGCCGCGUGAGUGAUGAAGGCCUUAGGGUUGUAAAGCUCUUUUACCAGGGAUGAUAAUGACAGUACCUGGAGAAUAAGCUCCGGCUAACUCCGUGCCAGCAGCCGCGGUAAUACGGAGGGAGCUAGCGUUGUUCGGAAUUACUGGGCGUAAAGCGUACGUAGGCGGUUAUUCAAGUCAGAGGUGAAAGCCUGGAGCUCAACUCCAGAACUGCCUUUGAAACUAGAUAGCUAGAAUCUUGGAGAGGUGAGUGGAAUUCCGAGUGUAGAGGUGAAAUUCGUAGAUAUUCGGAAGAACACCAGUGGCGAAGGCGACUCACUGGACAAGUAUUGACGCUGAGGUACGAAAGCGUGGGGAGCAAACAGGAUUAGAUACCCUGGUAGUCCACGCCGUAAACGAUGAUAACUAGCUGUUCGGGCUCUACGAGCUUGAGUGGCGCAGCUAACGCAUUAAGUUAUCCGCCUGGGGAGUACGGGUCGCAAGAUUAAAACUCAAAUGAAUUGACGG